CUGAGACCCCUCCCCGGUCCUUUCCUGACCACACCUCCGCAGCCCCUCCUGUCCCCGGCCACUGCUUGCACUCCAGCUGGUGUAGGGUUUACACAUGCCUCAUGUCUCCACUGUGGACCUAUCUGAGGGGGCCUGAGGAGGACCCUGCUCCAGGGCUUGAGGACAGAGAAGGCCCUGCACUCUUACCUCCACCAGGCUCCUGCGGAUAUCACCCAGCAUGGAGAGGACAUCUUGCGUGGGCACCACCCCUGGGGGAGACACCGACCAUGAUGAGCACUGCUGUGGCUGCUGAGGCAUCCAGAUGCUCUUCCUGCCCUGGCCUCUCACCACAAGGACUCUGAGCGGCCCACCCACAGGGUGGCCACGAUCUCAUGAAUGACCUUCAUCAGCUGCUGAAAUAUUAAUGACCUGAUUCUUCUUUUUAUGUGGAAAUUAAAACAGGCAUCAGGACCAGUGGCCUUGAAAGAUCACUUUAAAUGUCCCUUUAGGUUAAUGUCAAAUCACUGAAAAUUGUCCCUUGAGUGCAACUCUGAAGCCAGUUAUUCAACCAAGUAUUAAUGAAAAGACACACAAUUCAAAAAUCAUUUGUAUAAAACAGAGCUGCAAGGGAAGAACCUCUCGUCAGCAUGAUGAAAAACUACUCAAUGAUCAACCUCAAUAUGUAAAUUAAAUGAUGACAAAUUUUUUGGACUACGAACUUGACAUAUGUCUAUGCUUAAAGAUCAUUGUCCGGUAUUAGACAAGGCAGGAAACAGGCCUCCAUCCACUGCUGAGAGGAAUGGAAAUCGGGACCCAUUCUGGAGGGCUACUGGGCGAUCUGAAUGAAAAGCUUUAAAGACAAACAUUCUGGAUCUACAGUUUCAGAAAUGCACCCUGAGGAGGCAAUUAAGGAUGUUCACAGCAGCGUGGUUUUCAGCAUCCCCUCCAGGAGCAGUCCACCUUACCAGAGACUGCAAACAGUCUGGCUUUCACAGCGCAGGGGACCCACUGAAGAAAUGGGAGCCCAUCCACAUAUUUUAUGUAUUUCCCAUACGGGAAAAGAGUCCAGAAAGAUAAAUGCUAAAGUGUUAACAUUUGGUAACUCUGGGUGAUGGGAUCGUGAGCUGGUUUUGUUUUUUUCUUUUAACCUAUUUGCAUUUUCUAGUCCUCACAUGAUGAUAAAUUACUUAGCAUAAACUGAAAACACAGGGCUUUUUCUUCCCUUUUUUGGAGGCUAGGUGACGAUGCUUCUGGUAGCUACUGGUAGCUACUCUCCUCCUCUUAGUAGCCAUGUUACUUUUAGUUAGCCUUAGUGAUCCAGCAGGUCAAAUCUUUCUGUAGCAGAUACCAUCGCUGCAAGGAUUCACCCAGUAGAAACCACGUCCAGAUACUAGCAGCCAGCUGCAGUGAUGAUCUGGCCCGCAAAAUUCAUUACAGGCAACAGUAAUUACAAUAGUGUAAUGAAUGAUUUCCUAUGGCAAAGGAACAGAUCUUGAAGUAGAAAUUUCAGAUUUGAAAUUUAGCUCUGCCACUUAUUACCCGAGUGAUUCUGUGCCACUUUUAAAUCUCCCUAAGCCAGUUUCUUUAGCCAUAAAACAGCAAUACUAGGAAAUGACGGCUUUUCACAGAUUUCAUUAGGUUGCUGUGAAGUUUUUUGAAAUUAUAUGAAAAAGAUUCUUAAAAUGUAAGCACUUCAUGACUGUUCCUUACUCAAGUGCAAUGUGGUUUAUGCCAGCCAUCAUUUCAUGCCCCUCUUUCCAUUAAUGGCAACUCAAUUCUUUUUUUGUGUGGCACCUUGCCCCUCUUCUGGAUCCAGGAAUGUGAAGCCCUACCCUCUGGCUUCAGAGGGCCCUCUAGACCCAUUCUUAGCCAGUUAAAGGACUCUGUCCUCAGGACUUUAAGAUUGGUUUUGAGGUGUGCUCAUGACCCAGGCCGGACUAAUGAACUAAUACGCAGACUUUCCUGGAAGCACUGGGAAAGCAGAGUUCUCGCCCUGCUAGGGUUGCAGCAGGGAAGGAGGAUGAAGCUGGAGUUACUGGGGGUUUUCUAAGCUUCCACACAGGAACAGCCUGCCUAAAAAUGAAGCCAAGAAUGGGGGUGAAGCUCCAUGGAGCAAGGCAGUUCUCACAGUUUCAAUAACUGAACCCCCCAACCCCCGCGCCCCCGCCAGCUAGCUCCAGAAACCUGUCCCUGGACCCUGCAGCUACUGACCCAAUAAAAUCCCUAUUUCCCACGGGCCUGGAAGCCUGAAUCCUGUUUCUAGAACUUGCUGUCCCCCAAGAGUUUUCUUUUUUCUCGUAGUUCAUUCACUAGAAAACUUACAACUGCAUGCAAGGAUCAUUUUAUUAAGGAUGUUGGGAAAUGAAAGGGGUGGAGGGCGACAGCAAGAACAGUCUUGGGAUGAAAAGGUAACCUGGGUAACAGUUUUGCGAGAAUGAGCUGAUCAGGCUUUCCGAAGGCCCAGGGCGAGCUGGUGGAGUGGCCAUCCAUAUUCCAUUUCCCCCCUACUUUGUUGGGGCCAUGUUUUUCCCCUGUGAUGUCACAGAAUCAUAUUUUAAAGAUGGAAGGGCUUCAGUGUAUCAUUUCCAUGGUCUUACUCUGCAGAUGAAGAACGUGCAGCUGGGGUAUUAAGAAGAAUGGGUGCAACGUGCCUUUGUACAGCUUGCGUUCCUGAAUGGCAGCUGCUUUUAGUCUUAAGGGACUGAUGGGAGAAGAAGCGAGAUGAAAUGAGGCUAUCAGAAGGGUGGCAGGGCAAAUCUGAGCUAAUCAAAGCAUGAGGGGGUCCCACGUGUCCUCAGGAAGGUCUAGGUGUACAGCCAUCUCUCUCGACCGAGGCUGAGUGAUGCUUAUCUUAGACUGGAACCCCAGCGAUCUGAGCAGACGGAAAGGCCCAGGAUGUCUAAGGGCAUAUAAUUGUCUGGUACAAAGUAAAAGAUCACCUAUGUGGGGAAAAUGCAUUUGAUCUCUGUCGUACAUCAUACCCCAAAAUAAAUUAGAGCUAGAAUUAAAAAGAAGGAAAAAAUGAAGCAAAUGGGCUCCUGCUGGGCAAGAACACUGGCACAGCCGCUCUGGCCAGGGGCACAAACAUGCUUCGUCCUCUCUGUAAUCAGCCCAAGGCUUGGGACAUUCUGGCUGCAUCCCAGGCCUCAGGCUUGCUUCGGGCCCUAAAUACUCUCCAAGUUUGGGAAUCCCUGAACCCAGCUCAGGCACAGGACCAAGGGACGGGCAUUAGAAUGCCUUGACCAGGGUCAGGGAGCCCUAAGGAGGAGCAGCAUCGGCCCACCUCUGGGACACGUCACCAGGGAGAAGACAGCAGCGUGGGAGGAGAAGCACACACAGAGCCCUGGGUGCUGUGAAGGCCUGUGCUGACAUCUGAACAGCGAGCUCGGAACUUCUCUAAGCCGUUAUUUCCU